GUGCCAGCAGCCGCGGUAAUACGAAGGGUGCUAGCGUUGUUCGGAAUCAUUGGGCGUAAAGCGUGCGUAGGCGGUUUGGUAAGUCGGCUGUGAAAGCCCAGAGCUUAACUUUGGAAUUGCAGUCGAAACUGUCAGGCUUGAGUAUGGUGGGGGAUAGUGGAAUUCCUAGUGUAGGGGUGAAAUCCGUAGAUAUUAGGAGGAACACCGGUGGCGAAAGCGACUAUCUACGCCAUUACUGACGCUGAGGCACGAAAGUGUGGGGAGCAAACAGGAUUAGAUACCCUGGUAGUCC
rnacentral:rRNA from 1 species